rnacentral:rRNA from 1 species
UACGUAGGUGGCAAGCGUUGUCCGGAUUUACUGGGCGUAAAGAGCGCGCAGGCGGUCGUUCAAGUCGAGUGUGAAAGCCCCCGGCUCAACUGGGGAGGGUCAUUCGAUACUGAUCGACUGGAAGGCAGGAGAGGGAAGCGGAAUUCCCGGUGUAGUGGUGAAAUGCGUAGAUAUCGGGAGGAACACCAGUGGCGAAGGCGGCUUCCUGGCCUGUUCUUGACGCUGAGGCGCGAAAGCUAGGGGAGCAAGCGGG